GACGAACGCUGGCGGCGUGCUUAACACAUGCAAGUCGAACGGUGAAGCGAGUGCUUGCACUCGUGGAUCAGUGGCGAACGGGUGAGUAACACGUGAGUAACCUGCCCAUCACUCUGGGAUAAGCACUGGAAACGGUGUCUAAUACUGGAUACGACCAACCCUUGCAUGGGGUGUUGGUGGAAAGAUUUAUCGGUGAUGGAUGGACUCUCGGCCUAUCAGCUUGUUGGCGGGGUAAUGGCCCACCAAGGCGACGACGGGUAGCCGGCCUGAGAGGGUGACCGGCCACACUGGGACUGAGACACGGCCCAGACGCCUACGGGAGGCAGCAGUGGGGAAUAUUGCACAAUGGGCGAAAGCCUGAUGCAGCGACGCCGCGUGAGGGAUGACGGCCUUCGGGUUGUAAACCUCUUUCAGCAGGGAAGAAGCGAAAGUGACGGUACCUGCAGAAGAAGCACCGGCUAACUACGUG
rnacentral:rRNA from 1 species